GGGGUGUCGAAGGAGUUGUGCUCCGUGCGUGGGUUCGGUGGCCUCGUGCAUGGUCUGUACCCCUGUGUGGGGCCUCCGCGGGGUCUGUGUUUCUGUGUAGGGCCUGUAAACCUGCGUGGGGUCCGUACAAGGCCUGAGUGGACCCGGUACUCUCCUCACGGGGCCCGUAUCCCCUGCAUGGGACCUGUACCUGUCUAUAGAGCCUGCGUGGGACCUGUACCCCAUAUAGGGCCUGUGUGGGGCCUGUACCCCUCUAUGUAGAGCCUGCGUGGGACCUGUACCCCUAUAUAGGGCCUGCGUGGGACCUGUACCCCUAUAUAG
rnacentral:lncRNA from 1 species